rnacentral:ncRNA from 1 species
CAACCCCAACUCAGGAAAGAACACCCACUGAUUUUAAGCAUAUAAUUAAGCAGAGGAAAAUAAACUUACAAGGAUUCCCCUAGUAACGGCGAGCGAACCGGGAAGAGCCCAGCAUGAAAAUCAGGUGGUAGCGUCGCCUGAAUUAUAGUCUGUAGAAGCGUCCUUAGUGGAAGACCAGGCCCAAGUCCCCUGGAAGGGGGCACCUAAGAGGGUGACAACCCCAUCGAGUCGGGACCCUGCCACACCACGAGGCAUUGUUGGCAAGUCGGGUUGUUUGGGAAUGCAACCCUAAUCGGGUGGUAAAUUUCAUCCAAGGCUAAAUACAGGUGAGAUACCAAUAGCGAACAAGUACCGUGAGGGAAAGAUGAAAAUGAAUUUGAAAAGAGAGUUAAAGAGUGCUUGAAAUUUCCGGGAGGGAAGCGGAUGGAGGUCGGCGAUGCGUCUCGGUCGUAUGCAGAAUGAAUCAAGUUGGUCCGCCGCUCAAUUUGAGGUGUGAACCAGCAUAGGUCGUUGCAUCAACACAAGUGUGGGUGGAGUACUACCUAUUGGUUUUCCAUUGUGGUGGUCGAGGAACGAAGCGUGCGCCCUUGGGGUGGGCCAUUGUGCACCUGCAUGUGUUGGUUGGCGGGCUUUCCAUUCGACUCGUCUUGAAACACAGACCAAGGAGUCUAACAUGUGUGAGUCAGUGGGUUUGUAAACCUGUGAGGCGUAAGGAAGAUGAUGGAUGAGAACCCCUCUCCAUGGGGUGCAUUGCCGACUGAACUUGAGCUUGUGCGAAGGGUUCAAGUGUGAGCACACUUGUUGGGACCCAAAAGAUGGUGAACUAUGCCUGAGUAGGGUGAAGCCAGAGGAAACUCUGGUGGAGGCCUGUAGCGAUACUGAUGUGCAAAUCGUUCAUCUGACUUGGGUAUAGGGGUGAAAGACUAGUCGAACCAUCUAGUAGCUGGUUUCCUCCAAAGUUUCCCUCAGGAUAGCUGGAGCUCACAUGCGAGUUUUAUCAGGUAAAGCAAAUGAUUAGAGGCAUCGGGGGCGUAAUGAACUCAACCUAUUCUCAAACUUUAAAUAGGUAAGACAAUGCGGCUGAUCCAUUGAGCCGUGCCAUGGAAUCGAGAGCUCCAAGUGGGCCAUUUUUGGUAAGUAGAACUAGCGAUGCGGGAUGAACCAAAAUUCAAGUUAUGGUGCCAAACUGCACGCUAACCCAAAUCCCACAAAGGGUGUUGGUUGAUUAAGACAGUAGGACGGUGGUCAUGGAAGUCGAAAUCCACUAAGGAGUGUGUAACAACUCACAUGUUGAAUCAACUAGCCCCGAAAAUGGAUGGCGCUGAGGCGACCUAUACUCGACUAUUGGAGAAAUUGCCAGGCUUCAAUGAAUAGGAGGAUGCGGGGGUCAUUGAGAAACCUUGGGCGUGAGCCUGGGUGGACUGGUCCUCGGUGCAGAUCUUGGUGAUAGUAACAAAUAUUCAAAUGAGAACUUUGAAGACUGAAGUGGGGAAAGGUUCCAUGUGAACAACACUUGGACAUGGGUUAGUUGAUCCUAAGAGAUGGGGAAGCCCUAUAUCAA